rnacentral:tRNA from 1 species
AGAUAUGCUGAGUCGAUAACGCGAUGGCGUGUCAAGCAAAAGCUACUGGGUUGGAGUCCCAGAGUAAAC